rnacentral:rRNA from 1 species
UGUUUGGCACCUCGAUGUCGGCUCAUCUCAUCCUGGGGCUGUAGCCGGUCCCAAGGGUAUGGCUGUUCGCCAUUUAAAGAGGUACGUGAGCUGGGUUUAAAACGUCGUGAGACAGUUUGGUCCCUAUCUGCUGUGGGCGUUGGAGAUUUGACGGGGGCUGCUCCUAGUACGAGAGGACCGGAGUGGACACACCUCUGGUGUACCUGUUGUCACGCCAGUGGCAUCGCAGGGUAGCUAAGUGUGGAAGAGAUAACCGCUGAAAGCAUCUAAGCGGGAAACUCGCCUGAAGAUGAGAUCUCCCUGGGGACGCGAUCCCCCUGAAGGGUCGUUCAAGACCAGGACGUUGAUAGGCCGGGUGUGGAAGCGCAGUAAUGCGUGAAGCUAACCGGUACUAAUUGCCCGUGAGGCUUGACCCU